rnacentral:lncRNA from 1 species
CUUUUUCAAAGGCUACCAAAAAUCCAUUACCAUAGAGUAAUGAUCACACAUUAGCCGUCCAAAAAGUCAAGCUAGCUAUCAAAAGUAUUCCUUAUAUUUCAAUCCUUGUCAAAAGUAUCCUAGGAACACUUACACCAAUUCAAAGAAGCCUAGAAUUUGCUAAUAAAUUUCCAGAUGAAAUUCUAGAUAAGACAAGUUUGCAGUAUUUUUUAGGUAAUAUGUGGCUGAUUUUGUCAAAAGUAUAUGUUAAAUCUGUGCCCCUCGUUUUCAAAGGCUACAGAAAAAUCCAUUACCAUGGAGUAAUGAUCACAUUUUAGCCGUCCAAAAAAUUUCAAGAUGAUUUAAUUAAUAAAAAAUUUAUUUUGAAAAUAGACUGUAAAGUCUCAAAAGAUAUAAAAAUCUUACUUCAAAACAAAUCUUUGUAACAUGGCAGGCUAUUUUGUCCUGUUUUGAUCUUGAAAUGCUAUAUGUACAAGGGAAAUCAAAUAUUCUUGCAGAUUUUCUUACAAGAGAGUUAAUACAGAAAAAAGAGAGUUAUGAGAAUGUUCAAUAGUAAAAAAAGAGAGAAGAUAAAUUGGGGAGAUAUUAUCUAAGAAAUAAAGUGAAAUUUCAAAAACCAAAAGUUUUAAUUGCUUCCUCUGAAACUCCAUUUCAAAAGAAAAUACUAGAAAAAGGACUUCUAUUGCAUUAUUAUCAAUUGAUGAUUAUAUUCAAGGAUCAUCAUCAAGAAAAGAAGAACAAAUUUCUUCGUCUUCUUAAAAUAAUCAAAAUACUACCCUUUCAACCUUAGUAUUCAAAAAGCCUACUAAGACAAAAAUACUCUAGAACAAAUAAAACCUUCAAACUUUAACAAACUAUUUAAGGUUCUGGAAAAUUACCUCAAAUAAAUCCUCCAAACAACUUUCAAUAUUUUUUUAAAUCCGCAUAUAUUUCAGUUUUUGAAAUGAAAACAUCGUGGAUAAAUAGAUAUUCAUCUCUAAAUGAAUGUCUUCUAAACAUUUUUCCUCCAAAAUUUUAAUACAUGCCCUAUAAUAUCAAAAAAUUCAAGAAACUGGAUUAACUAUCAUAACUCAUACAAAAAAUCCUCAAAAUCCAAAACAAUUGAUUUUUCAAAAAUAAGUAUUCAAAGGGUGUUGUCAUAUGAAGACUAAGUUUUACUUUAGACCAGUGACUAAUUGUUGGCUCAUUUUAUUUAACCAAUAUUGUAAUUCAAGUUUUCCAAAAUGGUUUCAAACUUGAUUCCAUUGUUUUUGACUUGAUAAGAAAAUUUUACCUAGCCUCACUCAUCAAGGAUUCGAACAGUUAAAAUAGGAGGCCAAAACCUUUUUAAAACCUAAAGAAAAUUUUUUGUUCUAAGUCACAUUCAAUAUGAUAGUCUCAUGGAUGUUCUGCUAGGACUAUUUCAUUUAUGAAGAUCAACUCUCUGAAUAUCACGUUCAAAGAAUUAUUUGGAGAUUCAGAGUAAAACAAUGAUCAAAAUUCCAUGAAACUAACUGUUAUCCAAAAGCAGUAAAUUCGUGGAUUCAAGAACGAAAAAAUAUUGGCGCACCAAAAAUCUCAAAAAAAGAGUUAGACAAAAAUGCCGACUUUCUCACGGAAAAAUCAAGAUUAAUGACCAUGUUCAAUCAAUGUAAAACACAGGGGAAAUAGCGAUUAUUUCUGAAAAAAUUGCCAUCUUUGGCAGAAACUGCUUUAAAGAAAUCAAAAUCAAUUCCAGACAGUUCUUCUCAAACAAAUUCAAAAGACUAAGCCCAAAGCAAUGGAGAUAAUUGUUAUGGGUUAAAUAUUGAUGAACUACUUGCUCAAGAAGAAGCUCAAAAGAAUUCAAAAUAACUAUAUAAACCCAAUUAUUUGGAUGAACUUCAAAAAUAUCGAGCUCAUAAGAUAAAAGAUGCUCUAUUUCAAUUAUGCAUGCCACCUCAAAAGUUGUUUCUACAAGCAUUACCAAUAGCUAAAAGGAGAUAAAACUUUAAUAAAACAACUUUAUUAAAAUUGAUGUCCACUUUUCGAAAGUUGGAAAAGAAACAACGAACUUUCAAAAUCAUGGCAGACAAAGGACUAUUGCAAUUAUAUUGCUAAGAUUCUUCAAGCAAGUUCAAAAAAUUUUCAAGUUCGGUGUUCAAGAUUUCAAGUACAAAAGCAAAUCAAGACUCAAGAUCUCUCCAAGAGUUUUUAACGGGAUAAAAAUUUCUUCAAAAACUUUUGAGCGAGGUGAAAUUGUAGUGAGUUUCAUUACAAGUGCUAUGUCAAGGAAGAAAACUGGUUCAAGCAUAUGUGUGUGUGUGUGUGUGUGUGUAUAUAUAUGUAUGUAUGUAUGUACACCACACACACACACAUAUACUACACCUACACCAUGGAAGGCAACACUGGAAGAUAAUGAUGAGGGUCUAGAUUCAAGCUCUACCGCCACCAUGGAACCAUUUCACGGCGGGGUGUAUUGAUCUUCUUCUUCCUGGUAAUAAUGUGUAAAUCCACCAAGAAAAUGAGAUUUUUGUUCUAUCUUUUUUUUUUUCCAAUAUUCAAAAUGAUUUACAGUUCUGUCAGUUUCUUUUUCCAAUGCCCAUUUCACAAUCCUUAACAUACCAUUAAAUUGAUCCUUUGGGGACUGCAUAUCAAAGAGGCAAAGAAAUGGUGUGUAAAAGAAGGAUGGGGCAACAGUUGAAAUGAAUGUGAAAUAUGAAGGGGGAUGGUGGCUUUUCUGGUGUGUAAUAUAUCAAAUACAUUGUGCGCUUUCCACUUAUCAGACUAAAUGGACGGGUUCCAUGCAAGGACUAUCCACACAAAAACCCAUAGGACGGGGAAAACUUGCUGCCAAAAUAAUUAGAAUGGGGAUGGCAUUGUAACCAACUAUCAGGCAGUGGUUUUUUUUUAUCUACUUCAGUUACAACUUGAUAGUGAUGAGGGUCGAGUAAGGGAUUGGGUUAGCAUUCAUAGACUGGGGAUGAACGGCGGAAAUUCCCUUCUUUUUUCACAUGUGAAUUUAUCAUUUGGUCCAAUUCUGUAUUUGAUGCAGAAGAAAAUUAAGUUGUAUCAGUAGAUACCUUCACACAGUUGCAUGUCUAGUUCUUAAUUUCCAGGAAAUGGGUGUCUGAUUUUUAUUUAUGUGCUGUGGAGUUGUUUCCCUUUUGCCCACCUGUCAUGAGUUGUCAUUAGAGCACCAUGGAAUGAAAAAGCAGUUCAAAUACAAUUUUUUGAAGAUGAAAGUAUACUAAUGAGGCACUGUUGCAUAUUUCAACUGAGAAUACAAACUUUUUAUAACAUAGCUUCAAGCUUGACAGUGCAACAAACAGUUUACUCACAUUUGUUCUAGUUGUACUCCUAUGUUCAACUAAGUGUAGCAUUUCACUAUACUUUUUGGGGAAAAAAAGGUUUGGC